rnacentral:rRNA from 1 species
AGCGCAGGCGGACCGGCAAGUUGGAAGUGAAAACUAAUGGGCUCAACCCAUAAAUUGCUUUCAAAACUGCUGGCCUUGAGUAGUGCAGAGGUAGGUGGGAAUUCCCGGUGUAGCGGUGGAAUGCGUAGAUAUCGGGAGGAACACCAGUGGCGAAGGCGACCUACUGGGCACCAACUGACGCUGAGGCUCGAAAGCGUGGGUAGCAAACA